GAGAGGAGGAGGAGGCGGCGCGGGGGGGAGGAAGAGCAGCCCGGCUGGCUGCGUGCAGGCAGGACGCGCGCGGGCAGCGACCCCCUCGCCUUGCUCCGGAGGGGGCAAAGCCGCGGUGAGCGCCCCCCACGCACCCGCACCCCCACCCCGCGCGGGCCCGGGCCGCACGUGCGCGCAGGCUCCUCCGUGUUGUUCUUCUAAAGCGUUUCGAGCUCGACUCACAGAAGUUGUUUCUGCGUGAGCGGCCGUGGGGCGUUUGACCGAUGGUUUUGAUGGCAGAGAUGAAUCGAGGGCGCGGCGCCCGCCGUCCUGACCUGGAACUGGAACUCUUCCCCGGCGCCCCUCCCUCCUCUCAGAGGGGCGGAAGAUCUCGGGAUCUUCUGAUUGCCAUCGAUCCGAGCUGAUUUGCUGAGCGUUGGCUGCCUGUCACGUCCGCGUGCUCCGUGAUAGAUGGUUUCAAUCUGAAAAAGAACCCAAUUCACAAUGAAGUCGCUGGUAAAAUGGGACCGGCUGGUUGAGCCGUGCUUAUGCUGAAUACUAGAUUUAAUGAACUGGAACUACUUCCCCUGGCAUGUGGGGCUGGCCAUAUGCUUUUGACACGAAAACUUUAACUUUGGUGUGAUAAUUUAAUUUCUCAUGUUGUAAAACACAUCUCACGGCAUAGAUUUUUCCCCCCACCUCUCUCUGUUUUGACAGAGUUUGUGCAUUGUUGGCUUCCCUUGCUUCAUUUUUCUCUUCUUCCUGCGUCUCAUUAAUACACAAGCGGUAUUAAAUAAUAAUGAUGCCAGUA